rnacentral:rRNA from 1 species
UACGUAGGCAGCAAGCGUUGUUCGGAUUUACUGGGCGUAAAGAGUGUGUAGGCUGUUCUCUAAGUUUGGUGUGAAAUCUCCCGGCUUAACUGGGAGGGUGCGCCGAAAACUGGAGGGCUUGAGUAUGGGAGAGGAAGGCGGAAUUCCUGGUGUAGCGGUGAAAUGCGUAGAUAUCAGGAGGAACACCUGCGGUGUAGACGGCUUUCUGGACCAUCACUGACGCUGAGACACGAAAGCGUGGGGAGCAAACAGG